GCCGGUUUGGCGCAGGGGUAACGCGUCGCACUUGUAAUGCGAAGAUCGCUUGUUCGAUUCAGGCAAUCGGCA
rfam:Aureobasidium namibiae CBS 147.97 unplaced genomic scaffold scaffold_3, whole genome shotgun sequence.